rnacentral:rRNA from 1 species
ACUGCAGCCUGCAACUCGACUACAUGAAGCUGGAAUCGCUAGUAAUCGCGAAUCAGCAUGUCGCGGUGAAUACGUUCCCGGGUCUUGUACACACCGCCCGUCACACCAUGGGAGUCAGUAACGCCCGAAGCCGGUGACCCAACCAAGCAUGGAGGGAGCCGUCGAAGGUGGGACCGAUAACUGGGGUGAAGUCGUAACAAGGUAAC